rnacentral:rRNA from 1 species
UACGGGGGGGGGCAAGCGUUGUUCGGAAUUACUGGGCGUAAAGGCUCGUAGGCGGCCAACUAAGUCGGACGUGAAAUCCCUCGGCUUAACCGGGGAACUGCGUCCGAUACUGGAUGGCUUGAGUGUGGGAGAGGGAUGCGGAAUUCCAGGUGUAGCGGUGAAAUGCGUAGAUAUCUGGAGGAACACCGGUGGCGAAGGCGGCAUCCUGGGCUACUACUGACGCUGAGGAGCGAAAGCCAGGGGAGCAAACGGG